rnacentral:rRNA from 1 species
UACGUAGGGUGCGAGCGUUGUCCGGAAUUAUUGGGCGUAAAGGGCUCGUAGGCGGUCUGUCACGUCGGGAGUGAAAACACGGGGCUUAACCCCGUGCCUGCUUCCGAUACGGGCAGACUAGAGGUAUGCAGGGGAGAACGGAAUUCCUGGUGUAGCGGUGAAAUGCGCAGAUAUCAGGAGGAACACCGAUGGCGAAGGCAGGUCACUGGGCCGCAACUGACGCUGAGGAGCGAAAGCAUGGGGAGCGAACAGG